AUUAACUGAAUCCAUAGGUUAAUGAGGCGAACCGGGGGAACUGAAACAUCUAAGUACCCCGAGGAAAAGAAAUCAACCGAGAUUCCCCCAGUAGCGGCGAGCGAACGGGGAGGAGCCCAGAGCCUGAAUCAGUGUGUGUGUUAGUGGAAGCGUCUGGAAAGGCGCGCGAUACAGGGUGACAGCCCCGUACACAAAAAUGCACAUGCUGUGAGCUCGAUGAGUAGGGCGGGACACGUGGUAUCCUGUCUGAAUAUGGGGGGACCAUCCUCCAAGGCUAAAUACUCCUGACUGACCGAUAGUGAACCAGUACCGUGAGGGAAAGGCGAAAAGAACCCCGGCGAGGGGAGUGAAAAAGAACCUGAAACCGUGUACGUACAAGCAGUGGGAGCCUCUUUAUGGGGUGACUGCGUACCUUUUGUAUAAUGGGUCAGCGACUUAUAUUCUGUAGCAAGGUUAACCGAAUAGGGGAGCCGAAGGGAAACCGAGUCUUAACUGGGCGUUAAGUUGCAGGGUAUAGACCCGAAACCCGGUGAUCUAGCCAUGGGCAGGUUGAAGGUUGGGUAACACUAACUGGAGGACCGAACCGACUAAUGUUGAAAAAUUAGCGGAUGACUUGUGGCUGGGGGUGAAAGGCCAAUCAAACCGGGAGAUAGCUGGUUCUCCCCGAAAGCUAUUUAGGUAGCGCCUCGUGAAUUCAUCUCCGGGGGUAGAGCACUGUUUCGGCAAGGGGGUCAUCCCGACUUACCAACCCGAUGCAAACUGCGAAUACCGGAGAAUGUUAUCACGGGAGACACACGGCGGGUGCUAACGUCCGUCGUGAAGAGGGAAACAACCCAGACCGCCAGCUAAGGUCCCAAAGUCAUGGUUAAGUGGGAAACGAUGUGGGAAGGCCCAGACAGCCAGGAUGUUGGCUUAGAAGCAGCCAUCAUUUAAAGAAAGCGUAAUAGCUCACUGGUCGAGUCGGCCUGCGCGGAAGAUGUAACGGGGCUAAACCAUG
rnacentral:rRNA from 1 species